GAAAUGCGAUAAGUAAUGUGAAUUGCAGAAUUCCGUGAAUCAUCGAAUCUUUGAACGCACAUUGCGCCCUCUGGUAUUCCGGGGGCACGCCUGUCCGAGCGUCAUUGCGAACCCCUCAAGCACGGCUUGUGUGAUGGGCCCUCCCGCGUCUUGGUCGUCAAGACGGGCCCGAAAAGCAGUGGCGGCUUCGCGGUUAUCCGAUCAGCCAGAGCGUAUGGGGACUUUCUCUCUGUCACACGCCCGCGGCGCGGACCGACGCCUGUCGACCUUUAUUCAUCUUUUUCUCGGUUGACCUCGGAUCAGGUAGGGAUACCCGCUGAACUUAAGC
rnacentral:misc_RNA from 1 species